UGGUGAGGUGGUUGCAAUGACUGGAGAUGGGGUGAAUGAUGCCCCUGCUUUGAAAAUGGCCGACAUUGGCAUUGCAAUGGGGAUUGCUGGGACCGAGGUUGCCAAGGAAGCCUCUGACAUGGUAUUAGCAGAUGAUAAUUUCAGUACAAUAGUUGCAGCAGUUGGUGAAGGAAGAUCUAUUUACAACAAUAUGAAAGCCUUCAUUAGGUAUAUGAUCUCG
rnacentral:misc_RNA from 1 species